rnacentral:rRNA from 1 species
UAUGAACCGUUAUAACCGGCGAUUUCCGAAUGGGGAAACCCAGUGUGAUUCGUCACACUAUCAUUAACUGAAUCCAUAGGUUAAUGAGGCGAACCGGGGGAACUGAAACAUCUAAGUACCCCGAGGAAAAGAAAUCAACCGAGAUUCCCCCAGUAGCGGCGAGCGAACGGGGAGCAGCCCAGAGCCUGAAUCAGUGUGUGUGUUAGUGGAAGCGUCUGGAAAGGCGCGCGAUACAGGGUGACAGCCCCGUACACAAAAAUGCACAUGCUGUGAGCUCGAUGAGUAGGGCGGGACACGUGGUAUCCUGUCUGAAUAUGGGGGGACCAUCCUCCAAGGCUAAAUACUCCUGACUGACCGAUAGUGAACCAGUACCGUGAGGGAAAGGCGAAAAGAACCCCGGCGAGGGGAGUGAAAAAGAACCUGAAACCGUGUACGUACAAGCAGUGGGAGCCUCUUUAUGGGGUGACUGCGUACCUUUUGUAUAAUGGGUCAGCGACUUAUAUUCUGUAGCAAGGUUAACCGAAUAGGGGAGCCGAAGGGAAACCGAGUCUUAACUGGGCGUUAAGUUGCAGGGUAUAGACCCGAAACCCGGUGAUCUAGCCAUGGGCAGGUUGAAGGUUGGGUAACACUAACUGGAGGACCGAACCGACUAAUGUUGAAAAAUUAGCGGAUGACUUGUGGCUGGGGGUGAAAGGCCAAUCAAACCGGGAGAUAGCUGGUUCUCCCCGAAAGCUAUUUAGGUAGCGCCUCGUGAAUUCAUCUCCGGGGGUAGAGCACUGUUUCGGCAAGGGGGUCAUCCCGACUUACCAACCCGAUGCAAACUGCGAAUACCGGAGAAUGUUAUCACGGGAGACACACGGCGGGUGCUAACGUCCGUCGUGAAGAGGGAAACAACCCAGACCGCCAGCUAAGGUCCCAAAGUCAUGGUUAAGUGGGAAACGAUGUGGGAAGGCCCAGACAGCCAGGAUGUUGGCUUAGAAGCAGCCAUCAUUUAAAGAAAGCGUAAUAGCUCACUGGUCGAGUCGGCCUGCGCGGAAGAUGUAACGGGGCUAAACCAUGCACCGAAGCUGCGGCAGCGACGCUUAUGCGUUGUUGGGUA